GAACUUUUAGUUUAAUUAAGAAUUUUUCACUUACAAUGAGAAGGUUUUAAAGUUUU
rnacentral:tRNA from 1 species